UAACAGCUAUCUUUAUCUUCAAGUUGAUUUGUUCCUAGAAUGCUAUAUUUUUAUCCCCUGAAUCCCACAAGUCAUGACGGAAUAUUGUCACUUUGCAUUCCAGUUCUACGUUUCCCAGGAUCCUAUUCUUAUUCUCAUAAUGAUUUCCUCUAUCAAAGUAAAUAAAAGCUGGAGUGAGGGUCCGCACAGAAUCAAUGGUCAAACAGGCUCAAAAGCUUCUUCAUACACAGACCAGGAUGCGGCAAUGGAACCUAAUCUCUGUUGAUGCCAGUGCUCUUCUACAAAAGAAUCUUGAUAAUGCUAAAGCAACCCCUUAUCUCUGAAUCUAUAAUUCUUAGCGACCAAGUGUCGGUAAGACAGGCAUAUCAACUUUCUUUAUCCUAUUUUAUUUGAACUCAAUUGCUGCUUACCAGGUGACUAUCGCUCGGGUAUACAACUGGGAUGUUCACCAGGGCAGAAGUAAGCAAGUUACUGCAACUGCAGUCAAAGACUCGUGAAGGAUUUCCAUUAUCGCGUGGCCUUUUCUUAGUUACCCUAGUCGGACACAACAGCCAUGGGUUGAUGUCAUACUACGUAGCUGUUGGCACCUAAUGUUGAUAGAAGAGUAGCAGUAUCCUAAUGGUGUCCGGAUACCAACUCUUUUGCUUCUGCAGCAACAAUUACAUCAGCCUCCAGACCAAUCGCUUUCUCAGCUAGCCCAGGUCCUGUCUCAGCAAACACAAGUUUUCAGUCAUCACAACAAGCAUUCUCGCAGCGACAGCCAAAGUUGCAUACUGUGCAGCAGUCUGGUUAGAAUCUAUCUCAGCAGCCGAAUGCCCAGGCAACUAAACUACAGUAUUCAUGGUCAAGAAACAUUCCUCAAAGGCAGACAGUUUCCGACAGUCUUGCUACUGCAGCUGCUGCGCCUGGGUCUUCCACAACAAUCACUACAGAUCCUGCUUUAGUACCUAUUGGUGGGCAGGUUGCACUUCUUCCUAGUGAUUGGACCGAACACACCUCUUGUAAAGGGUACAAGUACUACUACUAAAACAGUGUAACAAGUGUAAGCCAAUGGGAGACUCCGAAGAGUUAACCAUAUUUGAGCAACAACAGCAGCAAAAAUUACCCAUCCAGAAAAACCUCUGAUUCAAGAGUUUCAGUCUCAGUCACAAUUGCAGUCGCAACCACAGGUCCUAUCUACCCAACAUGGCCCUCACAAAAAAGUCAGAUUCAACGGCAGAUGCAGUUGCAGCAGCCUUCUUUAUUUUUUUUUUGUUGGUCAUCAAAAUGCUCAGGAACAUGGUUUCGCUCAAUCACAGGUUUCAGCCAAUUCAAGUGACCCUGCUCGUUUCUAGCAGGGUCUUGAGGCACAGGAGUGGGCAGGGAAGAAAAAACCUACAGAAUUGAAGAAUAGAUUCUGAACCAAAAUGCCUGCUAAAGCUUAAGUACUUGAUGAGAGGUUAUGCCACAUAAUGGAAAUGAGUGGUACAAAGAAGGUUAAUGCGGCGGAAUUUAUGGUAAUGAAUGCAUGCUAACAAAAGGAGAAGUCUGAAGGGUGAAAGCUAUUGUUGUGAUGUGCUCGUCUGAUGUUAUAUGCAACCGCAAUGUUGUUCACCUUUUGGUUUUCUAAAAAAGUUAAAAUCUGUAACAUCUAUUCAUAGUUCUUAAUCAUUUGAUUUUGGCCGGUUGGAUUUUUGGCGUGUGUGAGCAAGAGUGAGCCGAUGUAAGACCUGGAAGUAAGACUAUUGACGUGCGUUCAAGCCCCCUUGUAUUUGUAAUGAAUCUAAUGAUGGUCAUGGGUAAUAUUGGGCUGAUUUAAUU